UUUUUUUUUUUUUUUUUUUUUUUUUUUUUUUUUUUUUUCCAACAUCUCUGUUUUACUGAAAAAAUAGGG
rnacentral:ribozyme from 1 species